UGAGACCAGGUCUCUGUAGCUAAGCACUUUAACCACCAGGUGGAAGCACCGCAUUGGGAGUUCUCGGAAGGCAACCGCCAGGUCCUAACUACUGGUACCCAAAACUGGCACCAGAGUGUGGCAUCUUACACCGCUGCUACUGAUAGUCAUAGAAUCACAGUCAAGCAGAGACCUUCAUUUUACACGUAAGGAAACUGAACUGUGGUGGGUUGAAUCACAGGGCUCCUGCCUCCUAAUUAUUUUAUUAUACAUGCUAUCUUCUUUUCGCCUAUCUUGAAAAUCUUUUACUAUGUUGGUUUCUCUGUAAAAGGAAUUACACCUGAACUUAAAACCCAGGGAGCAUAAUCAACAGCCUAAGAGGGUGGAGAACAGUAGGAAAGGUGUUGGGGAUCUGGUCUCACUGUAGUCAGAAUUCCAUGGUCGUUUUUUCUCUUGAACACAUCACUUGAUGAGCGGAGGGUGUAGCUGGGAUUCUACCAUACUAAAUCCUUGCAGCAAACUUCACUUUCAAGCACAGAGCUGUCACUGCAAAAUAUACCCCAAACCUGCUCUGAACUAAAUUCAGGUUUGUUUUAUAUUUGGUUUAGAAAUUUUCUAAAUUGUUUUGCUUGUCUCUAAAUGGUUUUAAGUUUGAUUCUGAUAAAAUUUCUGAUUUUAAAAGCAUUAUUUCCUUCAGAAAUUUACAUUAAGGCUCAUGAACCAAAUCAGAUUUUGGUUCAUGUCCCUUCAGAAUUGCUAUCUUAGAAAGGGAAAAGUUAGAACUCAGAAUGCCUGACUGAAAAUUGUUUAGGACUUGAUGGUAAAUCAAGUUGAGUUUUGUAUACUUUUAUCUGUAAUAUUACCAAAAUCAUUUUCUGCAAUAUUAUAUUAAUAUAUACUUUCAAGUAUAUAAUAAAUUACCACUUAUUUAAAUAAAAACUAUCAAGAUAUUUAGGUUAUUACCAGAUUUAAAAGAGGUCUACAAAUAUUGCUGAUAUUAACAUGUAUGAUUUUGUGCAUGUAGAAUAAACUGGCAUAGGAAUAGCUCCUAAAUGCCCAUGUAUCUCCCUUUCAUUUGUGGGUCUCAAGCAGGUACCAAGCCUGGUAUAGUUUCUGUUUCCAGACCCUAUAGGACUUUCAAUUUAAAAUAAGAACCAAAGCAACUCACUUUCAUGAGCAAUACACAGCACUCAGAAACCUGCCCCCCAGAGUUGCUGGUCUGCUGUUUGAUAUCCCCACUCCCCUAAUUCUUGCAUAUAAUGUUUUAAGAGCAGCAGUUUGCUGGAGCACUUGGUUCAUUCAUUCAGGUCUCACCAUGUGAUAGGAUUUAGAAUACGUUUUUCAAACAAAUUAAAUAGACCCUGGUUUCAGAGACCUCACACUCUGCCAGAGAAAAUCACUCAUGGAAAUAGAAGAGUAUAACGCAGUGUUAUAAAUCCCACAACAGAGGUAACCUGUUUAAUUUGAGGAGCAAAGAGGCAGGGCCCCCAGAUUGACUGGGAGGGGGUGAAACUGAGUGGAAUGGGACAAUGGUCAGCAAAGGUUUCCCAGAGGAGUUGAUAUCUGAACUUUUUUUUUUUUAAGGGAAUCAUCAUUGAUCAUUAUAUUUUACUUGUUUACUCUUUAACAGACUAGU